rfam:Salmo salar isolate Sally breed double haploid chromosome ssa25, whole genome shotgun sequence.
UCCACUCACUACUGUAAAUUGCUCUGGAUAAGAGCAUCUGCUAAAUUACGAAAA